GAGGGUUUAGCUCAGUGGUAGAGCACAUGCCUGGCAUACCUGGAGUCCUGGGUUCAAAACCCAGCACCUCCA
rnacentral:tRNA from 1 species